GACGAACGCUGGCGGUGUGCUUAACACAUGCAAGUCGAACGUAAAGUCCCUGCUUUUGUGCGGUGCUCGAAUGGCGACCUGGUUAGUAGCACGUGAGUAACCUUCCCUUGUCUUUAGGAUAGCUUCCAGAGACGCGGGCUACUACCGAAUAGGAGCUCCUGCUGCAUAGUGGUGGUUGGAAAUUUUAGGCGGUUGGGGAUGGACUCGCGGCUUGUCAGCUUGUUGGUGGGGUAGUGGCUUACCAAGGCUUUGACGGGUAGCCGGCCUGAGAGGGUGACCGGGCACAAUGGGACUGGGAUCAGGGCCAGACUCCUACGGGAGGCAGGAGUGGGGAAUAUUGCAAAAUGGGCGGAAGCCUGAUGCAACAACGCCGGGUGCGGGAUGAAGGCCUUAGGGUUGUAAACCGCCUUCGCCUGUGACGAAGCGUGAGUGACGGUAAUGGGUAAAGAAGCACCGGCUAACUACGUG
rnacentral:rRNA from 1 species